GUCGUCUGUCUGUAGGAGCGGGCCUUUUGGAGGAGACCGGAAGUGGAGCGAAUGAGAGGUGACCAGAAAUGGAAAGAAAAGUAAGCAGAAUUUGUUUUGCUUCUGAACCAGAUAUAAUUCAUUUUCUACAAAUUGCUUGGGAGAGAACGCUAGCAUCUGGUUUUGUUAUUACACUUACUGAUGGUCAGUCAGCAUGGACCGGAACAGUUUCCGAAUCAGAGAUUUCUCAAGAAGCUGAUGACAUGGCAAUGGAAAAAGAGAAAUAUGUUGAUGAACUGAGGAAAGUAUUGAUAUCAGGAGGAGGACCAGCUGAUGCAUACAAGUUUGAUUUUUCUAAAGAGUCUUGUCAUUUCUCCUUUGAGAAAAACCUGAAAGAUGUUUCAUUUAGACUUGGUUCCUUCAAUCUAGAGAAAGUUGCAAGUCCAGCUGAGGUCAUUAGGAAACUUAUUUGUGAUUGCCUGGACACCAUUACGGAAAACCAAGCCAAAAAUGAGCACCUGCAGAAGGAAAAUGAAAGGCUUCUGAGAGAUUGGAAUGAUAUUCAAGGACGAUUUGAAAAAUGUGUGAGUGCUAAGGAAGCUUUGGAGACUGAUCUUUAUAAGCGGUUUAUUCUAGUGCUGAAUGAGAAGAAAGCAAAGAUCAGAAGCUUGCAUAAAUUGUUAAAUGAAGUUCAAGAACCAGAAAGGAACAUUGAGCAUGAAAGGGAAGCCACAACAUGUUCUGAAAUGACCGCUGAUAGAGAUGCAGUCUACGAUGAAAGUACUGAUGAAGAAAGUGAGAACCUGCCUGAUCCCUCUGUGUUAGCUCCAGCUACUUCUAGAGAUGAUUCCAUCAUUUCAAGUCCUGAUGUCACUGAUAUUGCACCAAGUAGAAAGAGGAGGCAGCGGAUGCAAAAAAAUCUUGGAACAGAACCUAAAAUGGCUUCUCAGGUGACUCAGCCUCAAGAAAAGGAAAAGCUUGAUCCUCCACAACCUGAGAAGUUGAAAAAGGAGCACAGCUCAACUGAAAACAUGUCUUUAGAAACUCUAAGAAACAGUAGUUCAGAAGACCUCUUUGAUGAGAUUUAACUGUCUCAAAAGAGCUACCAUUCCAUUCUUGGCCCAUAACUCACAAACUAGAGAAAUGUGCCCAUCAAGAACAAACUCACUACUAGUUGCGCUCAGAAAUGUUACCCCAGAGUGCCAAGGACAUGGCUGCCAAAAAGAAUUAAUCCCAUACCUACCCCAUUCAUGAUGACCUCGGAAACAGGAGAAGCAAACGUUUUUUACUGUUAACCAGAAGCAUUUCCCCCAAAUGACUGCAAAUAGCACAAAUGUCUGUUCCAUUGAUAGAUAAUUCCAGUGACACUUUUUUUUUUUUUUUUCAGCCAAGUAGAGAUAGCGUCACAGCAGGAUAAAGUGGGCUGGAGUCACUAACUUUGACGUUCCAAUCCUGGAUCUCCCACUGCCUAACUCUCUUCUCUCAAGCCAGCCACUUAACCUCUCUUUUGAAGUCAGCUUCCUCACAAAUGAGACCAGCUCACGUAUACUUCUUGUCUAAGCACCAGAUAAGGCAGAUAAUGUUCAGAGGCAGUAGCCACAGCUUAAUCCACAAUGUAAAAGUGCUUUCCGGAAGGGCUUCUCCCCCACCCCAGGAUUUCUUAAAUUACUAAACUUCAUAUGCUGUCCACCAGUGUCAAAGGCGACAGCCAAAUAAAAGGCCCGUCCUUGUACUAAAGACCAGGCCUUUCCCUGGUUAUGGACUUAUUUUAAUCAUGAACCUUGAUAUACUUGUAGAAAAAGUUGACUUGUUUUUCUUCAUAUCUCCCUGUUGGUGGGUAUCGUUUAAUGGGAAAUUUUUCAGUUUUUUAUUUGCUUUUAGUUGUAUUUUGCGUGUAUGUAUUUUUAGUUUUUUAGUUUUCUGAUUUUCCAGUUAUCUACAGAAGACUCGAAAUAUCCACCUUACUUUCCAGAGAAAUAGUUUUUAUAAAACAGAGAUGCCAUUUGUUAUCCAUAAAACAUGCUCUUUUUUUGACAUCUCCUGUAAUAUAGAGAAGACAUAUUCAUGUAUUUACUUGGGCUGAGAAAAGAUAGCAAAAUUUAGUCUUGGAUAUGUAUAGAUAACACUGUUAUCUAUUGCCUCCACCAUUACCAAAGAACUGGGUUCAGUCAGAAUAGGUAUUUGCUGAACAGUAAGGAAUACUAAGAGAUAUCUUGUGUGGGCAAAUUAGUUUGUAUACUUGACCCAAGCAGUUAGCACAGAGCAAAAGGGACCCAGUUUUCUGGAACCCUGUAUCAUAUAUUGUUGACUCCUGCUAGUUAUUUCUUCUAUGCAGACUCUCAUGAACUAAAAAAAGCAAAUUGACUUCCAAAAGUUAACCUAUGCAUGAAUAAAAGCACAACAUACACAGAA